CACAUCAACCCUGCGGUUACGUUCGGUCUGUUCUUGGCUAGGAAGUUGUCUCUGACCAGAGCUGUUUUCUACAUGAUUAUGCAAUGUCUUGGAGCCAUCUGUGGCGCCGGAGUCGUUAAGGGUUUCCAGCCAACGCCGUACCAGACUCUCGGUGGCGGUGCCAACACUGUCGCUCCUGGCUACUCCAAGGGAUCUGGUCUCGGUGCUGAAAUCAUCGGAACCUUUGUUCUCGUCUACACGGUCUUCUCCGCCACCGACGCCAAGAGAAGCGCCCGUGACUCACACGUCCCGGUAAGGGAUCUCACUUUUCCGGUUUACCCCGGUUUGAUGAUGCUCAGAAGUGUUUGGUUCGUACUUGCGCGACUAAUAAUUGCUAAUUUUAUUUUGUUUAUUAAAAUGGAAAAAAAAAUGGUAGAUAUUGGCACCGCUACCAAUAGGGUUUGCAGUGUUCUUGGUACACCUGGCGACAAUUCCGAUAACCGGGACCGGAAUCAACCCAGCUAGAAGCCUUGGAGCCGCAAUUAUCUACAAC
rnacentral:lncRNA from 1 species